AUACGGAGGGGGCUAGCGUUGUUCGGAAUUACUGGGCGUAAAGCGCACGUAGGCGGAUUAAAAAGUUAGAGGUGAAAUCCCAGGGCUUAACCCUGGAACUGCCUUUAAAACUAGUAGUCUAGAGUUCGAGAGAGGUGAGUGGAAUUCCAAGUGUAGAGGUGAAAUUCGUAGAUAUUUGGAGGAACACCAGUGGCGAAGGCGGCUCACUGGCUCGAUACUGACGCCGAGGUGCGAAAGCGUGGGGAGCAAACAGGAUUAGAAACCCUGGUAGUCC
rnacentral:rRNA from 1 species